AUUGAACGCUGGCGGCAGGCCUAACACAUGCAAGUCGAGCGGAUGAAGGGAGCUUGCUCCUGGAUUCAGCGGCGGACGGGUGAGUAAUGCCUAGGAAUCUGCCUGGUAGUGGGGGAUAACGUCCGGAAACGGGCGCUAAUACCGCAUACGUCCUGAGGGAGAAAGUGGGGGAUCUUCGGACCUCACGCUAUCAGAUGAGCCUAGGUCGGAUUAGCUAGUUGGUGGGGUAAAGGCCACCAAGGCGACGAUCCGUAACUGGUCUGAGAGGAUGAUCAGUCACACUGGAACUGAGACACGGUCCAGACUCCUACGGGAGGCAGCAGUGGGGAAUAUUGGACAAUGGGCGAAAGCCUGAUCCAGCCAUGCCGCGUGUGUGAAGAAGGUCUUCGGAUUGUAAAGCACUUUAAGUUGGGAGGAAGGGCAGUAAGUUAAUACCUUGCUGUUUUGACGUUACCAACAGAAUAAGCACCGGCUAACUUCGUG
rnacentral:rRNA from 1 species